AAAUGCUAACGGGAUACGGUGAGAUUCCGAACCGGUGGUGAAAGUCCACAAGCCAUAUUUAUUAUGGUUGAUUUGGUGAAAUUCCAAAACCGACAGUAUAGUCUGGAAGGGAGUUAGCAUUG
rnacentral:ncRNA from 16 species